rnacentral:lncRNA from 1 species
ACUGCUUAGUGGGAUAAAAGAGGUGCCCUCUGUCAGUGGCAUUCCUUGGUGGUCUUGGAAGCAAGGAAGGAAUGCUUACAGGUGAGAGGGCUCUUUGCCAGCAAACUCCUUCCUGCAAAAGACAAACGGCAAGUCUCACGUAGCUGUUACACAACCGGUUAUAUAACCCUGCUGAGCGCUGAGAUUCAACAGCGUCAUCUGUCCCUGCUCAAAAAGGAACCACGUUCUCACAUCCACCUGGAAACAGCCAGCAUAAGAGAGCAACAGACAAUGCGGUUGGCUCGUCACCAUCUACCGGGUCCUGACUUCCAGCUGGUGGUUCACAUAACCACCUCCCGGCCUCUGGGAAGUUGUUUGCCUCUCACCCCUUCAAAUCAGUGGGGGCCAGCAGCCUGGGAACGCCUGGGAGGAUGGGAGUGCAGGGUUUCCAGGCCCGUCCUAGGUUUGCUGGGACAGAGCCUGCACUAUUAGCAAGAUCUCCAGGUGAUUUUAUGCAUAUUGAAGUGCAAGAAACCUUCCUUU